rfam:Ictidomys tridecemlineatus contig090474, whole genome shotgun sequence.
UAUUUAGUAUAAGUAUGUCCCAUAUAACAUCUGGGACAUACUUAUACUAAUU